rnacentral:lncRNA from 1 species
GCCUGGCAGGUGUGGAGAGGCCCCAGAGAACCACAGAAGCAGCCGCAGAAGUGAUGAGUGAGCAAUCUCCAGGGAAAUGCCACAAGACUAGGCCGUGCAACAUUUCCGCAGUGCUCCUCGCUACAAAGACAUUCCCCUAAGGCUGGUGGGCAACUCAACACUCAGCUCAGUACGUGGUCAGCUCGUCCUCCAUAGGAGCCUUAUGCCUUGGUGAGGAGAUCUCUGAAGAAAUUGCUGAUGAAAGUCCAACAGGCUCUUCCAGUUUGUCUGGUCGGUCACAUUUGCUGAAACCUGGAGGAAUUGUUAGUGGAAGCUCAACAGGCCUGACUCAGUCUGACUGUCCAUUCUUCUGGAAGCUGCAGAGAAAAGAAACCUGGAAACCUUAUAUGCUGACAAAAAGGGACACAAUUGGAUAUGAUGGUUAUUUUACCAAGGUUUUGAAAUGUCGUGCUUUCAAAUAUAAACAGACUGCUUUAAGGAAUCGAAGUUGACUUAUAGAGCCAA